CACUCUACUCACAUGCAUGCCACAAUGGAAAACGGAAAAAAAAACAACCAUGCACGCAUGAAAAGCAUUUAGCCACUGGCGUUGAGGGCGCUUCUAUUUCCCACAUUGCUUUUUUCACUAUUUACGCGUUUUUUUCUUUCUUUUUAUUACUUUUUC
rnacentral:ribozyme from 1 species